GGAUAAAUGCUUAAUUGUUUACCUUUAAUUGUCAAUUUCAGAGUAAAGUGUUAGUAUAAUAGUCACUUCCAAAGGUGGUAUGUGAAGUUUUUCAGUGGUAGAACUGAAAGGAAUUCCCACUUGCAGUGCUUUUCCACUGAGAUUCAUUUCAUCACCUAAAGCACUCAUAACAGGUCACUGACAAAUUAACCUGUAACAUACAGCCAGUUCUGAGAAACUAGAUUUCAACAUCAACAAGUAAAAGAAAGAUCAACAUCAAUCAAAGAAAAAAUUGAUAAACUAGAUUAAAAAUAAAUAAAAUUAAAAAAUUUUGUGCAUCAAAGGACACUAUCAACAGAAUGAAAAUAUAAACCAUAGAACAGGAGAAAAUAUUUGCAAAUCUUAUAUCUGAUGAGAGUCUAGUAUCUAGAAUAUACAAAAACCUCUUACACUCAACAAGAAAAAAAAAAAACCCAAAUGAUUCAAUUUGAAAAUGAGCAAAGGACUUGAAUAGACAUUUCUCCAAAGAAAAUAUCCAAAUGGCCAAUAAGACCAUGGAAAGACGCUCAACAUCAUGGGUCAUUAUGGAAACACAAAUGAGGUAUCACUUCACACCUACUGGGAUGGUUAUAAUAAUAAUUAAAAAAAAAAGACGAUAACAUUUUAAACCACCAACAUUAUUUUUACAGGAUAAUCAGAUUAAAUUUAAUUCUAAUUUAUGACAUCUUUCCUAGUUUUCACAACUUUCUGUGAUUACAUUCUUGGUUGGAUUUUUCAACCUCAGUGCACCCAUAGAAUUUUAUCACUGGCAAUUGGACCUACUUUGAUGUGGAGCUAAAAUCUUAAGAGCUGCAGGAAUAGCAACAUUUGUUCAUUUAUUGUCCUUCAUUAGGCAAUGGUGACAUCAAAGAGAGCAACUUCAGAAGCAGAGAUACACCCUUGGAAAAAACAAAGAAACUUCCCUUCAUCUUUGAACACCUUGAUAGGACUGACCUUGAUCUGUCAGCUGCCAAAGUGAUAAUUAGUUCCUGUUGCCUGUAAUCGAGAAAUCCUACUGACCCCUUCAAUCAAGAUGACUUCAGGCAAGACAAAUUUAUUACAGGGAUACAGAAGUGUCUCAUGAAACUCAUUUCAGAUAGGCCUUCCCU
rnacentral:lncRNA from 1 species